UAAUUAAUCGCUCGGAUCCGGCCAUGGGGAAAGAUCGAACAACAUAUGUGUUAUAGGAUACAAUGGGAAUCGGCUCAUAGGUGUGAAGGGUGGAAAUCACGGUCUGAUGAAGAGACUGGAAAGGCUCACGGAUCAUUGGAUCAUGCCGGAAAAGUGUGAGGCCAAACACUUAAGGUGGCCAAGCAGGACAAGAAGAAGCAGUGCGCCUUAGGGAUGCGCUCACAAGCGUAUUCAGUACAACCGUUUGAAUGAUAUAUAGGAUAUUUCGCGUCACUUUCGACCCGUUUGACCUGUUUCAAAAGUUUCAAUAAUAAUCAAGUUUUUCAAGUUACACAUUUGAGCCGUUAAAGAGGUCGAAUAUGCACUUCUAUAAUGCUAAAGGUUCUAUUUAUAAUCUUGUAAUUUAAACUUGCAGAGAGCAUCAUGGAGCCAUACCAUAGGUACCUGCAUACAUACGUUUCUGUAUCGGGCCCACAUUUAGGUUAUCUCUACAAUUCCAAUUCUCUUUUCAAUUCUGGAUUAUGGCUGUUGAAGAAGCUUAAAAACACCCGUUGCAUUCAUCAGCCGACUUUCACUGAUGACAUAGAUCUCGAGAAUACCUUCUUCUACAAUCUAUCCAAGCAAAAGACUUUGGAAAGUUCAAAAACAUAAUCCUGCUAUCAUCUCCUCAGGUGGCAAUUUCUACUCAUUUACGUGUUUAUUACUUGACUUGGGUUGUGUUUUAGGCCAAUCAGACAUUGAAGGGUAACUUAUACCAACUUGAACUG